rnacentral:rRNA from 1 species
CCUACGGGAGGCAGCAGUGGGGAAUAUUGGACAAUGGGCGCAAGCCUGAUCCAGCCAUGCCGCGUGAGUGAUGAAGGCCUUMGGGUUGUAAAGCUCUUUCGGGGGGACGAUAAUGACGGGGCCCGCAGAAUAGGCUCCGGCUGACUUCGUGCCAGCAGCCGCGGUAAU